CCGCCCGCCCACCGGGACACGACCUCAGUCUGUCUGAAUCCACUAUACCGUUCUACGUGCUUCUGUUGCUCGUCAAGAUGUGCUUCGGAGCGGAGACACGCAGCCAUGGGUAACCAACAUGACCAACUCGACUUGGAUGCAGGGAGAGGAGACGCCCAACCAUGAGCAAGCUCUAUGUCGGCAUCUCCAGCCUCACCACCCCCAUAUGCUGUACCAACGGCUAUAGUUCAAGCACAAGGUGUACCAGCUGCGAGAGGAGCCAGACAAGAAGCCAGAGACCUUACCUUCACUAGCUUUCUUGAUUGCCUCAGUUGCUCUGGCCAGUGUUUCGUUUGUGUUUGAACCAAAUGGAUUGUUAUGAGAGUCAGAAAUUUAGGUUGGCUUUAUGAGCAGCAGAACUGAACAAGAAACACAAUCUUAUAUAUGCAUUACGUAACAAUCAUGUUUUACUUAACUGAUCUAGUGCAGCAGUAUGUUGAUACACAACAGCAUGGUCUUUCUUGCAAAUGUUCUGGUGUUCAUAUAGGAAUGGACAGUUUCAUGAUUGUAGGAAGUUAUAGCUGGGCUUAUAUAUUAUACGUAUAUGGAACUCAUAUAAGGGAAUUAGAACUAGAGAAAUAUAUACGUACAUGUACCUCAGCUAUUGCAAAUACGAACUA